GACGAACGCUGGCGGCGUGCUUAACACAUGCAAGUCGAACCGAAAGGCCCUGCUUUUGUGGGGUGCUCGAGUGGCGAACGGGUGAGUAACACGUGAGUAACCUGCCCUUGACUUUGGGAUAACUUCAGGAAACUGGGGCUAAUACCGGAUAGGAGCUCCUGCUGCAUGGUGGGGGUUGGAAAGUUUCGGCGGUUGGGGAUGGACUCGCGGCUUAUCAGCUUGUUGGUGGGGUAGUGGCUUACCAAGGCUUUGACGGGUAGCCGGCCUGAGAGGGUGACCGGCCACAUUGGGACUGAGAUACGGCCCAGACUCCUACGGGAGGCAGCAGUGGGGAAUAUUGCACAAUGGGCGGAAGCCUGAUGCAGCAACGCCGCGUGCGGGAUGACGGCCUUCGGGUUGUAAACCGCUUUCGCCUGUGACGAAGCGUGAGUGACGGUAAUGGGUAAAGAAGCACCGGCUAACUACGUG
rnacentral:rRNA from 1 species